UGAAGCUAGAAAUCAACAAACAAAAUGUAGUAUGUAUCUAUAGAAUGGAAUAUUAUUCAGUCUUAAAAAAGGAAAGAAACUCUUGAUAUGUAUUACAACAUGGAUACCUUGAAAACAUUAUGCUAAGUUAAAUAAGCCAGAAACAAAAGGACAAAUAUCAUACAAUUACACUUAUUUGAGGCACUUAAAACAGGCUAACUCAGAGAGAAUGGGAAGUUAGUAUUUAACAGGUACAGAGUUUCUCCUUGGGAUGAUGAAAAAGUUCUGGAAAUGGACUGUGGUGACAAGUACACAACACUGUGAAUAUGCCUCACGCCAGUGAACUGCACACUUUAACACGAUUAAACUGUUUCUUUGCCUUUUGACUAAGAUCAAGUGUAAAAACAGUUAAAGUGAUAAAUUUUAUGCUAUAUGUAUUUUACUACAAUAAAAAUUUAAACGGCUUGUGGAUCCGGCACCGGAGGAGACGCAGGCAGCUGACAUUGUCUUCUCCGCACCACUGUUUCUGCCGUCUCCAGAGCCUUCUCUCUCCUGUGCAAAAUGGCGACUCUUAAGGAAAAACUCAUUGCACCAGUUGCAGAAGAGGAGGCAACAGUCCCAAACAAUAGGAUCAUGGCAGUGGGUGCUGGACAAGUUGGUAUGACAUGUGCUAUCAGCAUCUGGGAAAGUCUCUGGCUGAUGAACCUGCUCUUGUGGAUGUUUUGGAAGAUAAACUUAAAGGAGAAAUGAUGGAUCUGCAGCAUGGGAGCUUAUUUCUUCAGACGUCCAAAAUUGUGGCAGAUAAAGAUUAUUCCGUGACCGCCAAUUCUAAAACUGUAGUGGUAACUGCAGGAGUCUGUCAGCAAGAGGGGGAGAGUUGUCUCAAUCUGGUACAGAGAAUGGUAAUGUCUUUAAAUUCAUUAUUCCUCAGAUCGUCAAGUAGUCCUGAUUGCAUCAUAAUUGUGGUUUCCAACCCAGUGGACAUUCUUACAUAUGUUACCUGGAAACUGAGUGGAUUACCCAAACACGUGUGAUUGGAAGUGGAUGUAAUCUGGAUUCUGCUAGAUUUCGCUACCUUGGGGCUGAAAAACUUGGCAUUCAUCCCAGCAGCUGCGAUGGAUGGAUUUUGGGGGAACAUGGAGACUCAAGUGUGGCUGUGUGGAGUGGCGUGAAUGUGGCAGGUGUUCCUCUUCAGGAAUUGAAUCCAGAAAUGGGAACUGACAAUGAUAGUGAAAAUUGGAAUGAAGUGCAUAAGAUGGUGGUUGAAAGUGCCUAUGAAGUCAUCAAGCUAAAAGGAUAUGCCAACUGGGCUACUGGAUUAAGUGUGGCUGAUCUUAUUGACUCCAUGUUGAAAAAUCUGUCCAGGAUUCAUCCCCUGUCAACAACGGUAAAGGGGAUGUAUGGCAUCAAGAAUGAAGUCUUCCUGAGCCUUCUGUGUAUCCUCAGUGCCCAGGGAUUAACUAGUGUUAUCAACCAGAAGCUCAAGGAUGAUGAGGUUGCUCAGCUCAAGAAAAGUGCAGAUUCCCUGUGGGACAUCCAGAGGACCUAAAAGACCUGGGACUACUGAGCCCUAGGCUGUAGAAGUUUAAAAACUACAAUGUGAUUAACUCUGAGCCUUUAGUUUUCAUCCAUGUACGUGAAUCUCAGUUUGCUCUAAUCUUCAGUAAGUGAAUUUGGGCUCACAGAAUCAAAGCCUAUGCUUGGUUUAAUGCUUGCAACGAGUUCUUGAACAAAUAAAAUUAACUACUGCAGUGUGCUUCUUAAAAAAAUUUAAAUGAUUAAAA